rnacentral:rRNA from 1 species
UACAGAGGUCUCAAGCGUUGUUCGGAUUCAUUGGGCGUAAAGGGUGCGUAGGUGGCGGUGUUAGUCAGGUGUGAAAUCUCGGAGCUCAACUCCGAAACUGCACUUGAUACUGCCUUGCUAGAGUACUGGAGAGGAGAUUGGAAUUUACGGUGUAGCAGUGAAAUGCGUAGAUAUCGUAAGGAAGACCAGUGGCGAAGGCGAAUCUCUGGACAGUUACUGACACUGAGGCACGAAGGCCAGGGGAGCAAACGGG